rnacentral:tRNA from 1 species
GAGGGUAUAGCUCAACUGGUAGAGCACAUGCUUAGCAUACACAAGGUCCUGGGUUCAAUCCCCCGUACCUCCU